UCUCAGGGCGCAGCCCAGCCUCAUUAAUCAGAGAGAGGGAGCUGCCCCCUGGGAAACGGAAAUGCUCAAUGUGCACUCAGGCUCUUGUACAUCUCACUCUGACAUUUCCCUGCCAUGUUUUAUAACAUGGUAGGAGGCUGAGAGCUGUGAGCUUUUUAUUUAUUUAUUUAUUUUUUUUUUGGUGAGGGAAGGAAGACCCACAGUCCCUCUCAGGCUAGGGAGCCAGAAUCGAUGCACAAAUCAGACUGUCCGGUCGGAGUGGCUGUCGGACGAGCCCUUUGGGGAGUCGGGGGAAGGCUUGCUGGAGAAGAAAGCAGAGAAAAGUCGCAAGGCUUCAGAAGGGGCGCCAGAAAAUGUGGAGACCCGCCCAUUGUUCCUCUUCUGAAAGUGAGCAUCUUUGAGCAGAUGACAUAGACGGUCCCCCUGUUAGCCGUCAGCUCCAGGUUUCCUUUCCUAUUCCCCACAUUAAUGUAUUUGAAAGAAGGAACAUGCAGAGGGAAAUGCAUUGCAUUCUGAGGAGGAAAAUUCAAGCCCAUUACUGAAGGCCUGAUGAUGCAACCAACAGAACUGUGUUGUUCAUCACUCCUGGUUUCAAGCCUUAAAGGCUCCGUGUAGAAAGCCCCAGAGAAAUGACCUGGACAAGUUAAUUUGCUCUGACGCGUGAUGGACAGACCCUUCUCCCACUUCCCCAAACCAGUAUCCAAUAUGGUAUUUUUCUCCAGUAUGAUCACAAACAACUCAGUUCUUUUAAGAAACUUGGGGGUCUCCCAGAGAGUCCUAAGAGAGCAUCCCACCACUGUACCACAUGAUAAUACCUGCCAAGAGAUAUCUGUCACCAUGUGGGGCUUGGAGGAGUCCUUACGGGAUACAUUCAGAAUCUUACAAAGAGGGAACCAAAAGUUAUAAUGUCCCAGAAGGCCUUGCCACCAUAGCAGCAAGAAGGGAAGCCCAUAGAUGUUUGUCAGGGGCUCGUACAGACUACACUUUCAUAUCCAUGAAUACUGAAUGCUAAUCCAAGGCAAAUGUCCACAUAAUUCUAUGAAAGGUGCCCAAAUCAUGUACGGGGGCUCAAGCAGAAGCAAUGAAAGGAGAACAUUAUUCUAUGCCUUUAGGUUUCCCAACCCAUCCAUUAUCUGUCACUGAACACACUCUGCAGUUGGCAGUGGACUUAGGCGUUGACCGGAGGGAGUCUCUGGAGAGAAACAUGAGUAGUAACAAUUCAUGUACCCUAGCAGAUAUAGCCAACACAGAUUUUCGCUACUUUAUUUAUGCGGUCACGUACACAGUCAUCCUGGUGCCUGGUCUCAUAGGAAACAUACUAGCUCUCUGGGUUUUCUAUGGCUAUAUGAAAGAAACCAAGCGGGCUGUGAUCUUCAUGAUCAAUUUGGCCAUCGCAGACUUAUUGCAAGUUCUCUCCCUGCCCUUGAGGAUCUUUUACUACCUGAAUCACAACUGGCCUUUUGGGGAAGGCCUCUGCAUGUUUUGCUUCUACCUGAAGUACGUGAACAUGUAUGCCAGCAUCUACUUCUUGGUGUGCAUUAGUGUGCGGCGGUUCUGGUUCCUCAUGUACCCCUUCCGCUUCACCGACUGCAAGAGGAAGUGCGAUCUGUACAUCAGCGUAGCUGGCUGGCUCAGCAUCUGCCUCGCCUGCCUCCUUUUCCCCUUUCUCCGGACCAACCACGAGAAGGCUAGCAACCGGACCAAGUGCUUUGUGGAUCUGCCCACCAGGAACGUGAACUUGGCGCAGUCCAUCGUCAUGGUGACAGUGGGGGAGCUGGUGGGCUUCAUCACCCCUCUCAUCAUUGUUCUCUACUGUUCCUGGAAGACGGUGCUAUCGCUGAAGGAGAAGUAUCCAGUGUCCCAGGACCUCGGGGAGAAGAAGAAGGCUCUAAAGAUGAUCUUAACCUGUGCAGCGGUUUUCUUGAUUUGCUUUGCACCCUAUCAUUUCAGCUUUCCUUUAGAUUUCCUGGUCAAAGCCAACAAAAUCCAAAGCUGCAGGGCCCAGAAGGUGAUUCUGAUAUUCCACUCGGUGGCCUUGUGCCUGGCGAGUCUGAAUUCCUGCCUGGAUCCCGUCAUCUACUACUUCACCACCAAUGAGUUUCGGAGGCGGCUGUCCAGACAAGAUUUGCAAGACAGCAUCCAACUGCAUCACAAAAAUUAUACGGGCAGCCACACCUCAACAGUGGGGUCGAGCCUAUGUUGAAAUCUGAAUGCUUGUACUGACUGAAAGCUCAAAGAUUAAGACAACUUUUCAGCACCCCAACCAGGGAAACUACAGCAACCACACAUGUGCUGGGGCCUUCCUGGUUAUGUCCUAGCCCGUCCACGUGGGUGCUUUUAGAUCCAAGUGUUGGCUUCCAUUCAGGGCACAGUACUCUUUCCAUCACCAGAGUUGGCCUGGCAACUCGUUACAUUGCCCGUCAACUCUCUGUAACCUCUGUGCCGACAAUAGCCAUUGUUCAAUGGCUUGUCAUUCAUGUCAUUCAAGAGUCAGCAGAGGGUGGUUGUGCCAUUGGCAGAAUGAUUUUCUUUUACAUCAGAAUUGUUUCAAAAGCUUAAUUCUACCACAUUAGGCCAUGAGGCUGUUUGGAUUCAAAUGCAGUACAAUUGUCCAGUUACUCUACCAAACAUGGGUGAAGUAUAGUAUUAUAUUGGUGGGAAAGGCAGCCUUUACCAAAGUUGACCAAGUGCUGGCCUUGGAGAUAGGAAGACCUGGGUUCAAAUCCCAACUCUGAUACUUUGUGACCCUGGGCAAGUCACUUGCCUUCUCUGACCUCUGGGCUAUUCUCUGAGAAGAACAUACUAAGUUAUAGACAAAUCUUAAUCUUUGAUUGAAAUCACAGAUUAAUACACAUGAUAUUUGUGCUAUAUUCUGGAAAUGGAUUAUAACCUUUUUUCUAUAAUUAACUCAUAUGUUUACUCAUUCAAAUUUGGGAGCUUGGAGAUCUUUGUUUUGUCCCAAACCAUUUGCCCCUAACCUGUGAAGUCAGAAGCUCCAUACUGCUACUUUAGGAACAUGAAUCCUGGCCACUGUUUUGGCUUCAUAGCACAGGAAGAAUCAUUGAUCCCAUUGGAACAGCCAGCCCCAGCCAUGCCCCUUGGGGAACUGUGUUCCCCAUCUUUACCCCUAGCUCCUGGAAAAGACAAAGCAAGCCCCAAGAAGAAGAGUGCAGAAGAUCUGUCUGGGAAGCCUGGGGCCUCCUACAAGAUCUUAAUGAAGAAGAAGAAGAAGAAGAAGAAGAAGAAGAAGAAGAAGAAGAAGAAGAAGAAGAAGAAGAAGAAGAAGAAGAAGAUGAUGAUGAUGAUAAUGAUGAUGAUGAUGAUGAUGAUGACGAGAUGCUCUCUGUAACCUGAGAGUUUACAAAUCAUUGUAACAACCCUGUGAGCGGCUGAAUCCCCCCUGCCUGGUGGUAGGACGGAGGUGGGCGACGUGCCCUUCCUGGGACACCUGGAGAAUGGCUGGAGAGGAACCUGUCCCAAAAAGAGGCUGGAAAGACAGCCUGGCUUCCUGGCUCGGGAGGCUCUGAUGCCCGGCCCUGGGCCAAAUUGGGAAGUUGGGGAAAUAUGUGUUUUUUGGCCCCUGGCUCCCCUUCGUGUGUCCCUUCCCGAUUUCUAACCUCUCCUCCCCUUUCCUUUCCUCUCGUAGGUUCCCUGGCCGGGGGCUCUCUGGCUAGGAUAAUGUCAUUUGCGCUAAAGUGCUGGUGCUUCCCAGGUCACUAAGUCCCUUCUCAGCACUCCUUCCAUCCUGGCCUAUCUCCUGCUAAGCCCCAUUCUGCUCUUGGGCCCCCCUCAUCAUGAGCAGCCAGAUGAUAGGCAAGUUGAUGCCCAGGCUGGUGGUCAGUCCGGCGGUAGGCAGGUGGGGAGCGACCUGGUCUUUGUACUGAAUGGACCAGUGGCUCCGGUGGUUUCUGGGACACUGCUCAGAGAAGAAUCUCAGUUUGCAUUUUGGCCCCAGCAGGGCCCAAGAGGGCAACUGUUAGCCUCCCAGUCCCUGGUUUCUAGGCUUGGACAGGCUCAGAAAUCUUCCUCCUCUUCUGGCCAAUGGCUCCUUGGCCUUGGUUUGCAACAGUUGGCAUUGGAUUAGUUUCAAACCUGGACAAGGAGGGUUCUGUGCCCACAUGAGCCAAAGUGUGCACUGAAGAAGCCGACUGGGAAGGUCCCCAGGAUUGCCAUGAUUUAGAGAAAGAGAAAGGUUGGGCUUCCCCAGGGGGAUUCCUGGCAAGGGACAUUCCCAGGUCCAUUCUCAAGCCCCCAUUUGGCCAGUGAAAGGGGUCCCUCACAAAACCACCCCCACAAAUUAAUGGUGAGUUUCAGGUGGAAGCUAAAAAAAAGCCCUCGGCUUCUCUCUCUAAGAGGCUUCUCUCUCUUUCUGCUCCUCCAGCCCAUCUCAGAGGUAGUACACACCUUCCCUAAUUUCUCACUUAAUAAUAACCACAGAACUCUAGUGCCCAGCACAACCCUGUGAAGAAGACAGUGCAAGUACUAUUGCCCUCCUUUUACAGAGGAGGGAACUGAGGCCUAGGGAGGUGAAAUAACUUCUUCAAAAUCAGUAAUCAACAAAGUCAGAACUUGAACCCAGGUCCUUUCACUCUGAAUCCAGGGUGCCUUGGUGUUCAGGGUUUUGAGCCUGGUUGAGGGCAGGAAAACUUUUACUUCCUCAAGGUCAAGGUUAGGAAAAAAAGAAGCAUUAACACAUAACACAUUCAACCUAGAACAGUUUGCCAUAGAGUAAGCAGAUGCCCACGUGUGCUGAUGCUCUGGGUUCCAGCUUGAGCCUUGACUUGCAGACAGAGCCAUAACUAGAGCCAGGUGAGUGGAUAUAUGUCCCGAGGUGGGAAAUUCAGAGGGUUUUUCAUGUGCUAAAGAAGAAGGUGAGGGUGUAGCCCAGUAGUCGGGUGGAGCUGCUGUGGGGCAGUCUGGUGGCGAGAUGGUAAGAGUUGGUUCCAUCUCAUGGGGUCAUGUUAGUGAGGGGAAGGUAAGGCAAAGACCUUGCCUGGUGUGCCCUGAGCUUGGGCUUGGCCUCGGAAGUGGGAGGGAUCAUAGUAUCCUAGACUUAGAGCAUUUAGUUAGACCAUAGAGCUCAUCCAAGACUACCUCCCCCCUUUUAUCCUUGAGGAGAGUGAGGCUCAGAGACUUGCAUCAGGUCAUACAACUAUUAAGUGGCACAGUCAGUAUUUGAACACAGGUCCUCAGAUUACAAAUAGAGAACUCCUUCCCCUGCUCCACACCAGCUCAUUCCCCACUCUGAAUGUGAACCCAUGCAGUCUGUUCCCUUAUGACCAGCCGUGGCAGUUUCCUGAGCAACCAACAGGACGGGGAAGAAAGGUGGGGGUAAUACCUGUGUCUGAAGCCCACAGCCCCACUCUAUGCUAUCCUGCCUCAUAUUUGACUAGUCCCAGGCUUCUGCUCUUCCUAAAGAAGUCUCUGGGGCCUCCCACUUGAUACGAGUGAUCUUGGGGCCAGUAUGUCUGGGAAAGACCAUUCCCACUCAGCUGCACAAAUUGUGCCAUAAGAUGUGGGCUGGUGUUCCCAAAGGCUAGCAGCCUUGGAAUGAGCCUUGAUCAUAUCACAGAAGGCCAUAUUUCAAUAACUUGUCUGAAAGGGUGCUGGACUGGGUGUCAUCAAACCAUCAAAUUUAAGAGUUGGAUGGGACCAGGCAAGAGAUCUGGGCUCCAGUUCCUGUUAUGAUGUUAAUUCUGAUCUUUUGUUACUUCCUUUAUAAAAUAAGAAGUUUAGAUGGGGUUCAGCGAAGGUGCCCCCACUCCCUGAUCAAUCCUUCCUUAAUCUCCAUCCCUCUUGGUGCUUUCUUCCUUCUCAACUUUCCUUGUACUAUAAUUAUUUGUUGUACCUCUCUCCCCACCCCCACCUCCACCCCACUCCUUCCCAUCUAGGGGUAAUGGCUAGAGAAUGAAUUGUCUCAAAAUUGGGAAGACCGGGGUUCAAAAUCCAUUUCUGACACAUCCUGGCUAUGUGACCUUGGAAAAGUCAUUUAACCACUUAAUGCUCUAGGCAGUUCUCUAAGACUCU